GCAUAUAAGUAAGUGGUGGAAAUUAAACCAACUGGGAUCUCUUCAGUAAUUGCGCAUGAACCAGGAUAUGCUUAGCUUGACAAAUGGAGCUGCUGGCUCUGAAUUGUAUUGUGGGAAUGUAUUACCAACAGAGGUGCAGGUGUCAGCCAUUUGAAAGAAAGCAUCAAUGAGGGUGAGAGUCCUGUUUGUCAUGUGCAGCCUUCUGUGCACGGUGUAUAUUUGCUGAGUCACACUCCUUGGCAUUGGAAUGCAAAGUGGGUGGUAAGUUUCAUGCAAAGGUAAAUAUGCAAUUGAGACUGAUAGCGCACAAGUACCAUGAGGGACAUAUGAAAAGGACUUUGAACAGAGAAUUAAAUGAGUUUGUAUUUGCUAAACACAAAGUAAACAGACUUGAUUUCCUCAGUGAGAUUGUAGUGCUUGCUUAACAAUGGGUUUUGGCUGCAAGUGCAAUAAUUCUUGCUUUGUGUGCCAGUUUUUAUGUGGACAUUUGAUUACCUUUGCACAUGAAUGGUAAUUUUCCUGCGGGGUGUGGAUUGCAUAUGCAUGUAAUGAUUUGCAUGUUUGUUAAAUGUGUCUGGUGUAUUUGUUUGUGUCCUUGUCCUUGAGGUUGCUUUCUCCCUUGGGCUUACAUGCCCUGGCACACACAUUCUGGCAA
rnacentral:rRNA from 1 species